UCCUAGCCCCGAUUGAAACGGCAUCCUUUUUUGUUUAGGAAGGCUUUUUAGACCUGGAAAACAAAAAAGAUACAGUGGAAAGCGGGAUUAAGC
rnacentral:sRNA from 1 species